AAAGUUUAUUUCAGGGAGGCGGGACUUCCGCUGUCUUCUCGAAAAUUAUUCGAGGCCUCUCUCCAUGCGGUUUGGUCGCCUCAUUAUUUGAUUUUUGUUGAACGUCAGAUAGACACACAAACAUGGCUGAGAACGAUGUCGACAAUGAACUACUUGAUUAUGAAGAAGAUGAGGAGCCUCAGGGAGCCCCAGAGAGUGCUGCUCCUGUAGGACAGAAGGAGGUGAAGGGUUCUUACGUUUCCAUCCACAGCUCUGGAUUCAGAGAUUUUCUACUCAAACCAGAGCUUCUCCGUGCCAUUAUUGACUGUGGUUUUGAGCAUCCAUCUGAAGUCCAGCAUGAAUGCAUUCCCCAAGCCAUCCUGGGCAUGGACAUCCUUUGCCAAGCAAAAUCUGGUAUGGGAAAAACAGCUGUGUUUGUGCUGGCCACACUGCAACAGAUUGAGCCGGUUGAUGGACAGGUAUCCGUUUUGGUAAUGUGCCACACACGAGAGUUGGCCUUCCAGAUCAGUAAAGAGUAUGAGCGGUUUUCCAAGUACAUGCCCUCAGUAAAAGCAGCAGUGUUCUUUGGUGGCAUGGCUAUUAAGAAGGAUGAAGAAGUGUUGAAGAACUGCCCUCACAUUGUUGUUGGAACGCCAGGCCGUAUCCUCGCUCUGGCCCAGUAUAAGACCCUUAUUCUGAAGCACAUCAAGCACUUUGUCCUGGAUGAGUGUGACAAAAUGUUGGAGCAGCUAGAUAUGAGGUGUGAUGUACAGGAUAUUUUCAGGCUCACACCCCAUGAGAAGCAGGUCAUGAUGUUCAGUGCAACGCUCAGUAAGGACAUACGACCAGUCUGUCGCAAAUUCAUGCAAGAUCCCAUGGAAGUAUUUGUGGAUGACGAGACCAAACUUACCCUCCAUGGACUACAACAGUACUACUGCAAGCUGAGAGACAGUGAGAAGAACCGCAAGCUCUUUGACCUGUUAGACGUAUUGGAAUUUAACCAGGUGGUGAUAUUUGUCAAAUCAAUCCAGCGCUGCAUGGCUUUGUCUCAGCUUCUAGUAGAACAGAAUUUCCCUGCCAUUUGCAUCCACAAGGGAAUGGGUCAGGAGGAGAGGCUCUCUCGCUAUCAGCAAUUCAAGGACUUCCAAAGACGGAUCUUGGUGGCCACUAACCUAUUUGGCCGAGGCAUGGACAUUGAGCGAGUCAAUAUUGUGUUCAACUAUGAUAUGCCAGAAGAUUCUGACACCUAUUUGCACAGGGUGAGAACUCCAAGGUUGCUCGAGCUGGCAGGUUUGGGACCAAAGGACUGGCCAUAACUUUUGUGUCUGAUGAGGCUGAUGCAAAGACUCUGAAUGAAGUGCAGGACCGCUUUGAGGUGAAUGUGGCAGAGCUGCCUGAUGAGAUUGACAUCUCGUCUUACAUUGAGCAGUCCAGAUGAGUACUCCAGCCAAGCAGACAUUUCCGUUCCAUGGAUUCUGUCUUGUAUUGGGUGUAGACACUUCACUGUUGAUUGAAAAGAUCUAUUCUUUAACCAUUUUUGUGUUCAAGAAUUCUUAUUUUUAUUGUCACUUCUAGAGAGGGCUGUAUGGUCCAUUUUAAUUUGUCUUAAUGUUUUUUGUUUUAUUAUUGUUGCUGUGACAUUAAACCUUUUUAUAAAAUGCCAUUUCA